ensembl:lncRNA
CUGCUCAUUCUGUAAUUUCUUGUAAAUAUCAGGGUAAACCAGGCGAUCCAGGAUUUGAUGGGCCUCCUGGUCCUAAAGGAUCUAAAGGAGGGGCAGGUUUAAAUGGACGUCCAGGAUUAGAGGGUCUGAGGGGAAGACCAGGAUCAAAAGGAGAAAAGGGCGGGAAAGGAGAAUGUGGCGCCCCAGGGAUGAAAGGAGAUCAAGGCCUGGACGGACCCCCAGGACCACGUGGACCACGAGGCGAUCAGGUUGCCUUUAUCAAGUUUGUGAUAUAUGCAUGAAUUUACCUUGAUUUAUCAUUAUGAUUUGUUGCGUUGUGGCAUUAUUUCGGUG